AUUGAACGCUAGCGGCAUGCUUAACACAUGCAAGUCGAACGGCAGCGCGAGGAGCUUGCUCCUUGGCGGCGAGUGGCGGACGGGUGAGUAACGCGUAGGAAUCUACCUUGUAGUGGGGGAUAACUCGAGGAAACUCGAGCUAAUACCGCAUAAUCUUUACGAGGCAAAGCGGGGGAUCUUCGGACCUCGUGCUAUAAGAUGAGCCUGCGUCGGAUUAGCUAGUUGGUAGGGUAAUGGCCUACCAAGGCGACGAUCCGUAGCUGGUCUGAGAGGAUGAUCAGCCACACUGGGACUGAGACACGGCCCAGACUCCUACGGGAGGCAGCAGUGGGGAAUAUUGGACAAUGGGCGAAAGCCUGAUCCAGCAAUGCCGCGUGUGUGAAGAAGGCCUUCGGGUUGUAAAGCACUUUCAGUAGGGAAGAAAGCCUUAAAGCGAAUAACUUUGAGGUGUGACAUUACCUACAGAAGAAGCACUGGCUAA
rnacentral:rRNA from 1 species